GGGUUGUGAGGUUAAGCGACUAAGCGUACACGGUGGAUGCCCUGGCAGUCAGAGGCGAUGAAGGGCGUGCUAAUCUGCGAUAAGCGCCGGUAAGGUGAUAUGAACCGUUAUAACCGGCGAUACCCGAAUGGGGAAACCCAGUGUGACUCGUCACACUAUCAUUAACUGAAUCCAUAGGUUAAUGAGGCGAACCGGGGGAACUGAAACAUCUAAGUACCCCGAGGAAAAGAAAUCAACCGAGAUUCCCCCAGUAGCGGCGAGCGAACGGGGAGGAGCCCAGAGCCUGAAUCAGCAUAUGUGUUAGUGGAAGCGUCUGGAAAGGCGCGCGAUACAGGGUGACAGCCCCGUACACAAAAGCGCAUAUGCUGUGAGCUCGAUGAGUAGGGCGGGACACGUGGUAUCCUGUCUGAAUAUGGGGGGACCAUCCUCCAAGGCUAAAUACUCCUGACUGACCGAUAGUGAACCAGUACCGUGAGGGAAAGGCGAAAAGAACCCCGGCGAGGGGAGUGAAAAAGAACCUGAAACCGUGUACGUACAAGCAGUGGGAGCACCCUUUGGGG
rnacentral:rRNA from 1 species